UGCAAACUUCCAGAAUCACUGUUUGUUCUUCAAGGAGGUCAAAAGAAAAGAAGAAAAGGGCAAGAUGGAAAGGAUGCAAGUCAAAAGUGGCAGAAGUCCCGAAUGCAGAGAAUUAGGGAUGCUGGCUCAUUUUGGAGACAACUCACAGGCCCUCUCAUCCCUCCCUGCCCAUCAGAUGAAUGGAUAAAGAAAAUGUGGUAUUUAUACAUGGAGUAAGACACUGCCAAAAAGAAGGAUGAACUGGAG
rnacentral:lncRNA from 1 species